GACGUAGGGGGCAAGCGUUGUCCGGAAUUAUUGGGCGUAAAGCGCUCGUAAGGCGGAUCGGGUAAGUCUGUGAAGAAAGACCCGGGCUCAACUCGGGGAACGGCAUAGAUUACUGCUGAUCUUGAGACAGUCAGAGGAUGAUGGGAAUUCCAGGUGUAGACGGUGAAUGCGUAGAUAUCUGGAGGAACACCAGUGGCGAAGGCGAUCAUCUGGGGCUGUUCUGACGCUGAGGAGCGAAAGCUGAAGGGGAGCAAACGGGG
rnacentral:rRNA from 1 species